AUACGGAGGGUGCAAGCGUUAAUCGGAAUUACUGGGCGUAAAGCGCGCGUAGGCGGCUUGGUAAGUCGGAUGUGAAAUCCCCGGGCUUAACCUGGGAAUUGCAUUCGAUACUGUCAGGCUAGAGUGUGGUAGAGGGAAGUGGAAUUUCCGGUGUAGCGGUGAAAUGCGUAGAUAUCGGAAGGAACACCAGUGGCGAAGGCGGCUUCCUGGACCAACACUGACGCUGAGGCGCGAAGGCGUGGGGAGCAAACAGGAUUAGAAACCCCAGUAGUCC
rnacentral:rRNA from 1 species